rnacentral:rRNA from 1 species
AGAGUUUGAUCAUGGCUCAGGACGAACGCUGGCGGCGUGCUUAACACAUGCAAGUCGAACGGAAAGGCCCUUUCGGGGGUACUCGAGUGGCGAACGGGUGAGUAACACGUGGGUGAUCUGCCCUGCACUUCGGGAUAAGCUUGGGAAACUGGGUCUAAUACCGGAUAGGACUACGGCCUGCAUGGGUUGUGGUGGAAAGCUUUUGCGGUGUGGGAUGGGCCCGCGGCCUAUCAGCUUGUUGGUGGGGUGAUGGCCUACCAAGGCGACGACGGGUAGCCGGCCUGAGAGGGUGUCCGGCCACACUGGGACUGAGAUACGGCCCAGACUCCUACGGGAGGCAGCAGUGGGGAAUAUUGCACAAUGGGCGCAAGCCUGAUGCAGCGACGCCGCGUGGGGGAUGACGGCCUUCGGGUUGUAAACCUCUUUCACCAUCGACGAAGGCCCGGCGUUUGUUGGGUUGACGGUAGGUGGAGAAGAAGCACCGGCCAACUACGUGCCAGCAGCCGCGGUAAUACGUAGGGUGCGAGCGUUGUCCGGAAUUACUGGGCGUAAAGAGCUCGUAGGUGGUUUGUCGCGUUGUUCGUGAAAUUCCCUGGCUUAACUGGGGGCGUGCGGGCGAUACGGGCAGACUGGAGUACUGCAGGGGAGACUGGAAUUCCUGGUGUAGCGGUGGAAUGCGCAGAUAUCAGGAGGAACACCGGUGGCGAAGGCGGGUCUCUGGGCAGUAACUGACGCUGAGGAGCGAAAGCGUGGGGAGCGAACAGGAUUAGAUACCCUGGUAGUCCACGCCGUAAACGGUGGGUACUAGGUGUGGGUUUCCUUCCUUGGGAUCUGUGCCGUAGCUAACGCAUUAAGUACCCCGCCUGGGGAGUACGGCCGCAAGGCUAAAACUCAAAGGAAUUGACGGGGGCCCGCACAAGCGGCGGAGCAUGUGGAUUAAUUCGAUGCAACGCGAAGAACCUUACCUGGGUUUGACAUGCACAGGA